rnacentral:Y_RNA from 1 species
GGUUGGUCCGAGUGCAGUGGUGUUUACAACUAAUUGAUCACAACCAGUUAUAGAUUCCUUUGUUCCUUCUCCACUCCCACUGCUUCACUUGAAUAGCCUUAA